CAUUUAUCACAAUUUUGUCUAUAUUAGCUGGACUUCAUCUGUUAAAAAAAUACUCCGUAAAAGAUAGUAGUACAACUUACAUUAGACUUUAUGAUGAAGACACAAAUAAACAAAUGUACAAAAUAAUUCAGUACUUCACCUGUUGGGAGAGUGUGAUGAAGCCAUGCGAAAACACAGAGGUAGUGUCACUUUCAGGUUUUUGUCUUGUAAUAAUUGAGUUUCCCUUUUGAUAUCACGUGAAUGUGUGUAGGGGAAAUUGUGUUCAUUUUAAAGUUAAACAAUUGGAGUUGCUGAUUUGGGCUAAGUUAUAAUUCCGUGUUUUGAGAUCUGAUUUCAAUAUGAAAAUUGAACUGUGUGGUUGUACACCUCUAGCUUGAAUCCUGUUACCUGAUCUUAUAAUAACCUCCUGAAAGAAGCUCUUUCUGCACAAGGAUCAUACGAAUAAAUCACCCGCUCUAGGAGUCUUCCAACAGACUUUGUACGGUUGGAUCAAGAUAUUAUGACACCUCUUGCGGGGAAGAAGCAGCUAUAUACGUAUGAAACCAUGGAUUUCUGGGAACAAAUUAAAACACCAGGAAUGUCUUUGAAAUGCUCUGGUCUCUACCUGGCUCAAUAUAGUUCUACCUCACUAG